CCACGUGCAGGAGUGUUGCUUGAAUUUGAGGCAAGUUUUGCGUAGAGGAGCUCCGGGGCUGGGAGUGGGGGAGGUGCUAGAGACCGUGAGUGGACAGUGUAAGGAAUAUAAGGCUACUCAAGGGUGGCAGGCAGCAGCUUUGUGCGCGACGUACUACGAAUAUCCCCCAAAUGGGCGUACUUCCUCAGGCUCUUCGGCUGACUCAGUACUGUGGGCAUGAGGUUCUCUCCUGCACAUUUCAUAAGGCCUGCCACA